UAGGAAGGUUCGUCCGCUCCAGGUUAGUCGGGAGCUAAGGUGAGGCCUAACGGCGUAGCCGAUGCACAGACGGUAGAGAUUCCGUCACCACCAAAAGAGUUAAACACAGGGACACAUAUGAAGUCUCGGAGCCGGGUGUUGGUUCCGGUAGCGAUCGAGGGAAAUUAGUACCGAAGUCCGGGAUGGAAGAUGGCGAGAAAAGCUGUGUGUAUUUCUGCGGUGCCCGUACCGCAAACCGACACAGGUAGGUAGGAAGAAGAUUCUAAGGCCAACGGGAGAAGGGUUGUUAAGGAACUCGGCAAAUUGACCCCGUAACUUCGGGAGAAGGGGUGCUGCAGCAAUGCAGCCGCAGAGAAUCGGCCCAAGCAACUGUUUACCAAAAACACAGGUUUGUGCUAAAUCGAAAGAUGACGUACACGAGCUGACGCCUGCCCGGUGCUGGAAGGUUAAGAGGAGAUGUGCAAGCAUUGAAUCGAAGCCCCAGUGAACGGCGGCCGUAACGAUAACGGUCCUAAGGUAGCGAAAUUCCUUGUCAGGUAAGUUCUGACCCGCAUGAAAGGCGUAAUGAUUUGGGCACUGUCUCAACAGCCCGCCCGGCGAAAUUGUAGUACCGGUGAAGAUGCCGGUUACCCGCGACAAGACGGAAAGACCCCAUGGAGCUUUACUGUAGCCUAAUAUUGGGUUUCGAUGUUGCAUGCACAGGAUAGAUGGGACACUGGGAAGCAGGUGCUUUGGCGCUUGUGGAGUGGCCGUUGGGAUACCAUCCUUGCGAUAUUGGAAUUCUAACCUUCGCCUUUGAAUCAAGGCGGGGGACAUUGUUAGGUGGGCAGUUUGACUGGGGCGGUCGCCUCCUAAAGAGUAACGGAGGCGUUCAAAGGUUCGCUCAGCUUGAACGGAAAUCAAGCAAAAGAGUGCAAACGCAGAAGCGAGCCUAACUGCGAGACUGACGGGUCGAGCAGUAACGAAAGUUGCAGUUAGUGAUCCGGUGGUAUGUGAGUGGAAAUGCCAUCGCUCAACGGAUAAAAGUUACCCUGGGGAUAACAGGCUGAUCUCCCCCAAGAGUCCACAUCGACGGGGAGGUUUGGCACCUCGAUGUCGGCUCAUCGCAUCCUGGGGCUGUAUUCGGUCCCAAGGGUUUGGCUGUUCGCCAAUUAAAGCGGUACGCGAGCUGGGUUCAGAACGUCGUGAGACAGUUCGGUCCCUAUCUGUCGUGGGCGCAGGAUAUUUGAUGGGAGCUGUUCCUAGUACGAGAGGACCGGAGCGGACCUACCUCUGGCGCACCAGUUGUUCUGCCAAGAGCAUAGCUGGGCAACUAUGUACGGAUCGGAUAAACGCUGAAAGCAUCUAAGCGUGAAGCCGACCCAAAGAUAAGAUAUCCCAUUGUUUCAAACAAGUAAGACCCCUUGAAGACUACAAGGUUGAUAGGCACGAUGUGUAAGUGGAGCGAUCCAUUCAGCAAGCGUGUACUAAUAGGUCGAGGGCUUGACC
rnacentral:rRNA from 1 species